rnacentral:rRNA from 1 species
AUUGAACGCUGGCGGCAGGCCUAACACAUGCAAGUCGAGCGGAGCGGCGGACGGGUGAGUAAUGCCUAGGAAUCUGCCUGGUGGUGGGGGAUAACGUCCGGAAACGGGCGCUAAUACCGCAUCCUAUCAGAUGAGCCUAGUUCGGAGUAGCUAGUGGGGGGGGUAAAGGACUACCAAGGCGACCAUCCGUAACUGGUCUGAGAGGAUGAUCAGGCACACUGGAACUGAGAAACGGUCCAGACUCCUACGGGAGGCAGCAGUGGGGAAUAUUGGACAAUGGGCGAAAGCCUGAUCCAGCCAUGCGGCGUGGGUGAAGAAGGUCUUCGGAUUGUAAAGCACGUUAAGUUGGGAGGCGUUACCAACAGAGUAAGCACCGGCUAACGUCGUGCCAGCAGCCGCGGUAAUUC